UGAUGUACAACCUCACCAGAGUACCAAUUGGAGGGCAAGUCUGGUGCCAGCAGCCGCGGUAAUUCCAGCUCCAAUAGCGUAUAUUAAACUUGUUGCAGUUAAAAAGCUCGUAGUUGUAUUUCAGCCUCGCGUUUUUUCCCUUUUGUUGGGUCUUUUCGCUGGCUUUUUUUUUACUUUGAGAAAAUUAGAGUGUUUCAAGCAGACUUUUGUCUUGAAUACUUCAGCAUGGAAUAAUAGAGUAGGACCUUGGUUCUAUUUUGUUGGUUUUGAGCCUUGGUAAUGGUUAAUAGGAACGGUUGGGGGCAUUCGUAUUUAACUGUCAGAGGUGAAAUUCUUAGAUUUGUUAAAGACGAACCACUGCGAAAGCAUUUGCCAAGGACGUUUUCAUUAAUCAAGAACGAAAGUUAGGGG
rnacentral:rRNA from 1 species